AUGAAGAAGGGCAAGAGGCAGAAGUCAGAGGCCAGGCGCCGAGGCUCCACCUCCCAGCGCGCCAGCUCCGAAUCCAGCCCUCAGCAGCAGAGCUCGGAGUCCAGUUCACAGCAGCCCAUCUCCGGAUCCAGCCCGCAGCCGCCCAGCCCCCGGCCCACCUUGCAGCCGUCCAGCCCGGGACCCACCCCACAGCCAACCAGCUCUGGAGUCACCUCACAGCCCAGCAGUGAAUCCACCGCCCCGCAGCCUGUGCCCCAGGCUCUCCCAGCUCCCGAACUCGGACGCUCGGCUCGGGGCGUCGUGUCUCCGGACACUGACACAAAAGCAUCCCCUCGAUCCAGGAAAACAGGGCCUGUGACGCGAGCGGGCCCGCACGCCUUCUGUUCCUGUUCCGCUUGCCCCGGCAGCUCUGCUUGCUGGUGCCGUCUGGGCCCGUGCCAUAGCCGCAUCUUCGAUGUCCUUCUGCCCUGGGCCUGGCCAAUCAUGCCAGGGAGAAGAUUCCCAAACUUCCUCACCUUCUACAGGUCCUGGAGCGCGUGGGGGGCUGGGCCCUCGGGGCACGCACCGUAUUAGCAGCCGUGUGUAACUUCUUCCUCUCGGGACUCCCAGGCCCAAAGGAAAGCCACGUCCUGGGGGUCGGCACCCAGGCCUUUCUGACCAGCCCCAGGCCCAGGUACCCCACCUGCACGGAGAGAAGACCUGCAAGCAAACAUUCCACUCAUCGUAAUUCGCGUGCUCCGAGCCCUCGGGACUGUUGCUG